GAUAUAUCAAAAGAUUUAUCGCUGAGAGAUGGCCUCGCGUCUGAUUAGCUGGAUUGGUAGGGUAACGGCCUACCCAAGGCGACGAUCCAGUAGCCCGGACUGAGAGGUUGGCCGGCCACAUUGGGAGUGAGAUACGGCCCAGACUCCUACGGGAGGCAGCAGUGGGGAAUAUUGGGCAAUGGGCGCAAGCCUGACCCAGCAACGCCGCGUGAAGGAAGAAGCCUCUCGGGUUGUAAACUUCUUUUAAGAGGGAAGAGCAGAAGACGGUACCUCUUGAAUAAGCUCCGGCUAACUACGUGCCAGCAGCCGCGGUAAUACGUAGGGAGCGAGCGUUGUCCGGAUUUACUGGGUGUAAAGGGCGUGCAGCCGGGAGUACAAGUCAGAUGUGAAAUCCCGCGGCUCAACCGCGGAACUGCAUUUGAAACUGUAUUUCUUGAGUACUGGAGAGGCAGACGGAAUUCCUAGUGUAGCGGUGAAAUGCGUAGAUAUUAGGAGGAACACCAGUGGCGAAGGCGGUCUGCUGGACAGCAACUGACGGUGAGGCGCGAAAGCGUGGGGAGCAAACAGGAUUAGAUACCCUGGUAGUCCACGCUGUAAACGAUGGAUAAUAGGUGUGCGGGGACUGACCCCCUGCGUGCCGCAGUUAACACACUAAGUAUCCCACCUGGGGAGUACGAUCGCAAGUUUGAAACUCAAAGGAAUUGACGGGGGCCUGCACAAGCGGUGGCUUAUGUCGUUUAAUUCGAUGCAACGUGAAGAACCUUACCAGGGCUAGACAUCCUGCUAACGAGGUAGAGAUACGUCAGGUGCCCUUCGGGGAAAGCAGAGACAGGUGGUGCAUGGUUGUCGUCAGCUCGUGUCGUGAGAUGUUGGGUUAAGUCCCGCAACGAGCGCAACCCUUACUGUUAGUUGCUACGCAAGAGCACUCCAGCGACACUGCCGUUGACAAAACGGAGGAAGGUGGGGACGAGGUCAAAUCAUCAUGCCCCUUAUGUCCUGGGCUACACACGUAAUACAAUGGCGGCCAACAGAGGGAUGCAAAGCUGUGAAGUGGAGCGAACCCCUAAAAGCCGUCCCAGUUCAGAUUGCAGUCUGCAACUCGACUGCAUGAAGUCGGAAUCGCUAGUAAUCGCGGAUCAGC
rnacentral:rRNA from 1 species